UCAUUUGAAUCAUCUGUAAAAGUGAAGUGGAGGGAAGUGUUUACUGUUUACUGUAUGCCAUUUCCUUGGUCUUUUAAUGAAGAAUUUUAUCCUUCUUCAGGUGACUACAUCACCAUCUACCAGUUGCAGCGAGGAGUGAUGAAGCAACAAGCUCGGGGAGCAACGCGAGUUAGACCUUGCCAGCCCCUCCAUCAUGAAUGAGAGGAAAUGAGAGCAAAACCACUCUGCAGGAUUUGAUAUCAAAGCUGGUGCAGGAAAAGGAAGCAGAUCAUGACCUUCAGCAGCUCGAGAAGAUAAGCAGCGUCCUUAAGAGUCCAGUUGCUAUCUUUAGCAGUGUUGGAACCAGUGAGUCUGAGACACCCACCACCAGUG